rnacentral:rRNA from 1 species
UUUCAACAACGGAUCUCUUGGCUCUCGCAUCGAUGAAGAACGCAGCGAAAUGCGAUAAGUAAUGUGAAUUGCAGAAUUCAGUGAAUCAUCGAAUCUUUGAACGCACCUUGCGCUCCUUGGUAUUCC